rnacentral:rRNA from 1 species
GAUCAUGGCUCAGGACGAACGCUGGCGGCGCGCCUAACACAUGCAAGUCGAACGGAGUUAGAUGGCGGAAGUUUUCGGAUGGAAGCGAUUUAACUUAGUGGCGAACGGGUGAGUAACACGUGAGGAACCUACCUUUCAGUGGGGGACGAACAGUUGGAAACGACUGCUAAUACCGCAUAAGACCACAGCACCGCCAUGGUGCAGUGAUCAAAGGAUUUAUUUCGCUGAAAGAAUGGACUCGCGUCCG